rnacentral:lncRNA from 1 species
GUGCAAACAAAAAAAGGCAACAAGCAUGCUGGGACCAUUCUGUCUGCUGUUUGGGUCUCACUUGUCCUGACAACUAAAAAUCAUCAGUGGAAAGAAGCUAGAGUCAUCCUAACAAGAGUGAUAGUCUUUCCCCAAGUGAGACCAGGCUGUGCUGUCUGGGGAAAAGCAUUGCUGGCCUUGUCGAGAUGCACCGACGACUCAGCUCAGCUAAGGACUUAACCAGUACAGGACUUGCUGCAGCGGAGCCUGAGCUGGAUAUGGAAAGCAAAAGCUUUGGACUUAAAGCUUCAUCUGAGUGCUCGGCUCCGCUUGGAUGUUUCACAGGUUCUACAGCCCCCAGCUGAAGUUAUGGUCUCCAACCACCCGCUACCUGUUCUCCCUUCCUGCUUUUCCAUCUCCAUAAAUGGCAGCACAUCUGUCCAUGGGCUUAAGAAACACCAGGACCUUCUUAUAGAGUGUCUUACAGUAUCCUUAAAGACUCCCUCCUCCGGGUGGAUCACGAGGUCAAGAGAUCGAGACCAUCCUGGCCAACAUGGUGAAACCCUGUCUCUACUAAAAAUACAAAAAUUAGCCGGGCGUGGUGGCGGGCACUUGUAAUCCCAGCUACUCGGGAGGCUGAGGCAGGAGAAUGUCGUGAACCCGGGAGGCGG